rnacentral:snoRNA from 1 species
GCAUGAUGACUAGACGUGCAAUUCCUGUGGUAUCUGAACUUCCACUGAAAGAGACACUGCAACGAUGCCUUUCCAAGGGAUCCACUGA